UCCCGCCUCCUUCGUAAUCCUCACCCCUCCCCACCCCAGAGGUCGGGACAGGAGUUCCCCGGACGGGGCUCGUUGGCGGCUGGGUUGGAUAUGGUUUUGUGAUGAAGAAAUGGAGUGUUCUAUACCUUUGCUACAAAUUACACAAAAAUGAACAUCUUUAUGCCCAUGGAUCUGUGGAUCAGGAAUUCGGAUGGGGAUGACUUGUCUCUACUUUGCAACAUCUGAGGCUUCAGAUGGAGCCCUUGAAGGCUGGAUCAAGUCCAGGGGUCGAUGCUGGUGGAUGAGAAGGACUUCUGUGUUGUUUUCACAUGGACUAGUUUGCAGUUCCUAAGAGCAUGGUGGAUGGAUUUUAAAGAAGAUGUUGCUGCGGCUGAGGUCGAAGAGGUUGCUGCCUGUGUUCUCCUCAAGGAUUUUGAUGGAUUCCUUUCGCACAUUGAGGUCCAUAAGAUACCUAGGAAUAAACCUAACCAAAGAGACACAGAAUCUAUACUCAGAAAACUAUAAAGUACUCAUGAAAGAAAUUGAGGAAGACACAAAGAAAUGGAAAAAUGUUCCAUGCUCCUGGAUUGGAAGAAUAAAUAUUGUGAAAAUGUCUAUGCUACCUAAAGCAAUCUACACAUUUAAUGCAAUUCCUA